GCCGUAAUCGUAGAUGUUGGUACUCUGCGUUGUGGCCGCAGCAACCCCGGUUCGAAUCCGGGUCACGGCA
rnacentral:tRNA from 1 species